rnacentral:rRNA from 1 species
AGCAGCCGCGGUAAUUCCAGCUCCAAUAGCGUAUAUUAAAGUUGUUGCAGUUAAAAAGCUCGUAGUUGAAUUUCGGGGUCAGCAGGUUGGUCGUGCCACUGGUAUGUACUGGCUUUGCUGAUUCCUCCUUCUUGUAGAACCGUAAUGCCAUUAAUUUGGUGUUGCGGGGAAACAGGACUGUUACUUUGAAAAAUUAGAGUGUUUAAAGCAGGCUAACGCUUGAAUACAUUAGCAUGGAAUAAUGAAAUAGGACGAGCGAUCCUAUUUUGUUGGUUUCUAGGAUUGACGUAAUGAUUAAUAGGGAUAGUUGGGGGCAUUAGUAUUCAAUUGUCAGAGGUGAAAUUCUUGGAUUUAUUGAAGACUAACUACUGCGAAAGCAUUUGCCAAGGAUGUUUUCAUUAAUCAAGAACGAAAGUUAGGGGAUCGAAGACGAUCAGAUACCGUCGUAGUCUUAACCAUAAACUAUGCCGACUAGGGAUCGGAUGAUGUUAAUUUAUAAUGACUCAUUCGGCUACCG